rnacentral:ncRNA from 1 species
CAGAUAGAGGCGCGGUAAAGAUCAGUACCCCGCGGGCGUUAAUGUGCGUUUCCCGGACGUGCAGCCUGCGGACGAAAGGCGAUACCGCCGAAGCCCGGCACUCGGGGUGCCGCCGCUGACCGCUUGCCGAAAAGGUCUGCGGUUGUCAUCAUGCUUUGUGGUGGAGUGCUAUCGG